AUACCCUUGACAGAUCCUUCUCCUGUACCAGAGGACCCUUUUGGUGGCUGGGUUCCAUCUUGCCCUGAUGGAUGGAGUAUGCACAGUCAACAGUGCCUCCUCUUUGUUCCAAGAUACAUGACCUGGGCUGAGGCUCAGAGAAACUGUCAGUCUCGUGGAGGACAGCUUGCG